AAGGAUCAUUAUUGAAUACGAAUUGGAGCUGAUGCUGGCCUUCGGGCAUGUGCUCGCUUCAAGUCUAUUUAUCUUCUCUUGUGCACCUCUUGUAGUCCUUUGAAAAAAGUGAACCCCUCGCAGCAAUGCGGUAUGGGGGAUUUGAGCCUAACCCGCUCUUCCCCUGCUUGCUUUUCUUCAAGGCUAUGUUUUCAUAUACACUAUAAAGUUACAGAAUGUCUUUUAACGGCUGCUUGCAGUCAUUAAACCUAUACAACUUUCAGCAACGGAUCUCUUGGCUCUCCCAUCGAUGAAGAACGCAGCGAAAUGCGAUAAGUAAUGUGAAUUGCAGAAUUCAGUGAAUCAUCGAAUCUUUGAACGCACCUUGCGCCCUUUGGUAUUCCGAAGGGCAUGCCUGUUUGAGUGUCAUUAACUUCUCAACCUUUUAGCUCGCGCUAUUAGGCUUGGAUGUGAGGGUUUUGCUGGCUUCCUUCAGUGGAUGGUCUGCUCCCUUUAAAUGCAUUAGUGGGAUCUCUUGUGGACCGUCACUUGGUGUGAUAAUUUAUCUAUGCCUCGUUGACUUUGGAGCAAAUUUUAUGGGAACCUGCUUAUAACCGUCUCGCAAGGGACAAAUUUUCUGACAUUUUGACCUCAAAUCAGGUAGGACUACCCGCUGAACUUAA
rnacentral:rRNA from 1 species